rnacentral:misc_RNA from 1 species
GAUGAAGAACGUAGCGAAAUGCGAUAAGUAAUGUGAAUUGCAGAAUUCAGUGAAUCAUCGAAUCUUUGAACGCACAUUGCGCCCGCCAGUAUUCUGGCGGGCAUGCCUGUUCGAGCGUCAUUUCAACCCUCAAGCCCAGCUUGGUGUUGGGGAUCGGCACAGGCGCCCUCGGGCGCCCGCCGUCCCCUAAAUCUAGUGGCGGUCCCGCUGCAGCCUCCUCUGCGUAGUAGUUUUCUCCUCGCAAGGGCAGCUCGGUGGCGACCUCGCCGUAAAACCCCCAACUUCUGAAAGGUUGACCUCGAAUCAGGUAGGAAUACCCGCUGAACUUAAGCAUAUCAAUAAGCGCAGGA